UCUUCUGGAAGUACUACUAUGGGCAUUACUUGGACGACUAUCACACAAAAAGGACUUCAUCCCUUGUCAGCCUGUCAGGCCUCGGCGCCAGCCUCAACGCCAGCCUCCACACUGCCCUCAACGCCAGCUUCCUGGCCAGCCCCACGGAGCUGCCCUCGGCCACACACUCAGGCCAGGCGACCGCUGUGCUCAGCCUCCUCAUCAUGCUGGGCACGCUCUGGCUGGGCUACACCCUCUACCAAUUCAAGAAGAGGUGAGGGGCUGCAUGGGGAGGGGAGGGGCCGCAUGGGUCAAAGGCUGUGCUUAUGCACCUGCUGUCCCCAGCCCCUACCUGCACCCCUGCGUGCGAGAGAUCCUGUCCGACUGUGCCCUGCCCAUCGCGGUGCUCGCCUUCUCCCUCAUCAGCUCCCAUGGCUUCCGGGAAAUCGAGAGUGAGUUGGGGCCGGGCGGUGGGUGACGUGGGGUAGCUCCCCAGGCGCUGCAGGCAUAGCAGUAGCCUGUCCCCUACUGCAGUGAGCAAGUUCCGCUACAACCCCAGCGAGAGCCCCUUUGCGAUGGCGCAGAUCCAGUCGCUGUCCCUGAGGGCCAUCAGCGGUGCCAUGGGCCUCGGCUUCCUGCUGUCCAUGCUCUUCUUCAUCGAGCAGAACUUGGUGGCCGCCUUGGUGAAUGCGCCGGAGAACAGGCUGGUGAAGGGCACUGCCUACCACUGGGACCUCUUGCUCCUUGCCAUCAUCAACACAGGGCUGUCCCUGUUUGGGCUGCCUUG
rnacentral:sRNA from 1 species